CCCAGGAAAGAGGCGGGCCCGAAAGUUGAGCUGUUGAAUUAUGCAUGACCUCCAAGUCCGGAGCCUGCCUGCCCCCACUCGUCCCUCCCCUUCCUCCUCCUCCUUCCACCCCCGGCUCCAGAAAACCCUGGGCGUGCUGGGUACUUUGCUGGGUACUUUGCAGGGGUGAUUCAGGUCACUAAGGGUUGAGAAGAAACCUGGUCAAAAAUGGGGCGCUGGAAAAGGACAGCGAUCUCGCCCCCUCUCCCGCCACAUCCGCGCGGGUAGUGGGAGGAUUGGAAUGUCCCUGACGCCCUCCAGAGAGCCUGGAGCCGGGAUGGGACCGGAACAGGUGGCUAGGAGUAGAGAGGGUGUGCCAGUGACCCGGAAAAAACCACCCACCCUCCCACCGACUGGAUCCAGGCGAGGAGUGGAGACCCCCUGCUUCUAGAUCUAGCCUGGCAAGACAGCUGCGGCAAGUAGGAGGCAGCCUGGUCCUCCGGAGCAGCUCAGUUCCUUCUCUCCCUUGUCCCCCCUCCAUUGGGGGGAAAGGGAGGGUGGCUGCGAGGAGUCAAGCAUAUACAAGCUCUACUAUUAUCUCUCUGUCUCAGAACGGUCCAGACUCAAGGGAGGUCACUUUUCGUGCCUGGUCAAGAAAAGUCAGUUCGUGGUUUGGAGCCAAGGAGACGAGGAGAGGACCAGCCAAACCAAGACAGGGUAGAGGGAUGGCCCAGAAGGUAAACGCUGCUCCACAAGAGAACUAACCCUAGAGGAAACAGCCACAGAUUCCCCUGGAAACGACGGAGACGCCUUCCUUCCAGCAUUACUUGCCAUGAUAUUCCAGGGUUCCUGAGGAGCUGGCCACCUCUUCCGUCAAUGGAUUCCCGACUGAUAACUGGCUCAGACUCAGGAACUGAGCAAGGAAUCGUGACUGUUUAGGGGGGCAGCCAGUCCCAGCCCCCUGCUGCUUCAUUCUGGCCUUAUUCUGAUUAUAGAUGUGAAGUAGCACCCUUCAGGUUAUGGACAACACCUAGAAUGUGAAGAAAGCGAUGAAAUACCUUCAAUGCUAUCAUUAAAUGUCAGAGGUGACUUAUUGAAAAGGCAAUCUUACUUAAUAGUCCAAAAUAUUUAAAGCCAUGAACUCCUGCUUUUCGGUGCAACCCAAACAGAAACGUUUAUGUAUGUUCACUCAGGGACAUGAACUAGAAUAUUCAUUGUUCCCAGCAGUGAAAGCUCCAAAUGGAAAACACCCAAGAGUCCUUAAAGAGUGGCUAAUAAAUAAACAAUGAGGCACUAUGCAGCAACAGAAUGUAGAAUACGUUAGAAUUAACAGCUACAACUACAAACAUAAGGGAUAAAUCUUACAUACGCAAUACUGAACAAAAGAAGAUAAAUGCUCAAGAAUAUAUACCGUAUAAUCACAUUUAUAUAAAUUAUAAAAACAGGAAAUCUGUGCUGUUUGAAGUCAAAAUAAUGAUCACUUGGCAGCAGGAGAGUGACUUGAAGGGAUUACAGGGAGUGGGGUGCUUCCGGCUACUGGAAUGUUUUGCUUCUUGAUCUGGAUACUGGCUCCAUGGUUAUGUUCAGCCUGUGAAAGUUAAUCAAACUGUACACUCAUGAUAUGUGCAUUUUUUGUAUGUGUAUCAUGUUUCAACAAAAAGUUCAAAAUGUAUAUUUAAAGCCACAAGAUACCCAAGGAGAACUGAAUACAACAUUUUGAAUUUCCUACUGUAAAUCAGUAGUUCCCAAAGGUUGAGAAGCACUGCAAUCACCCUUUGCCCAACCUACAGACCCUCUGGGGUGGAGGAGGGUAAUUCAAGCACGUUAGCACCGGGGCGAGGCCGACGAGGUGGGUUUCCACGACCCAUGGCAGAAUACGGUCAGAGGGGUAUUCGUGGGUUUCUUAGCCUCCUAUACUCUGACCACUUCAGACUGUUUCCUAAAUUAUACAGGAUAUGAAAAGCUCUAGCCAACUGUUUGGUCUUUACUCCUGGGGAUAGUGUCUGCCCCUAGUCUCAGUCUCUUUCCAAUCCUGGUCGAAGCAGCUAGACAGUUCUAAUGGACAUCUGAUGUUUUCAUCUGUCCUGCAUUUCCACCCUCCUUCUGAAAAUAAAGCACUUCUGUUUCUAUGGAGGACCCAUUCCAAGGAGUUUAGGUGAGACUGACAGCCACCCCAGCCCUCUAGCCUUAGGAGUAGGACUAUGACUCGGGUCUGGCCAGAGUUCUGUCUAGGUCUUUUUUACCUGCAAUGUCUAGAGACUUAGCCUCUUUACACUGAAGCCACGAGCAAGGAAGGUACAAGUCUGGCCAUUGUAGCAUAAAUCACAUUCUCCAUAUGCAAGAAGCCAGUGUAGAAUAAAGACAAUUAAAGCCAAGUGAACAUUAAGGACAGGGCAAAAGAUAGAUCUCCAAAGAUAGUGUUUGAGUUCCUGGAUAUAACCAUUCCUGAAAUUCACAACUAUACAGUUAUAGGACCAAUA